CGAGUGAGGAAUUCCGGCCCCUCCCGCAUAUUUAUCUGAGCGCUGGUCCGCGGAACUCCGCACCAAGUGAGAGCCCCUUUUAUAGUGCGCCGUUCAUAGAAGAGAUAAAAGAGAGGUAUACAUACACGUAUCUACAAAGCCAGUGUCAAACCACUAUGCGCGUAGAUCUAUUCAGGAAUGCCCGCGGUGCUUGAUAAUUGAGCGCAUUCGCGAGGUUUUCUAGCGAAUAAGCGCCAAGCUCGAUCGACUGCGAAACGUCGGCGUCGUAUCGUGUCGUUGCGAUUUACAAAGGGACAUCGCAUCUAUGGGCUCGUGAAUUUCUAUCGGGAUUUAGACGUUUAUUCUGUAGUUUCAAAAUUUUGCAGCUGACGAGAUACGAGAACCCACGAUCCACAGCGUGUGAAUCCAACGCUCUAGCCACUAGGUUGAUCGUGAUUUGUAAAUAUCCCUGUAAAUGGAAAUGUCCCACCGUUGGAAAGAGAAGGGAAACCGCAUACCUUCCUUGGCAACGGGACAUCGAGUUAUCGGUAUGUACACCAUGAUAAUGGAGUCGCAUUCCAUUUAUAUCAGCAGCACUCGCCACUGCAACCUCCUCUCUUCUCCCCACGCCUUUGCUCCAUAAUCAUUUUAGGACAUUUCACGAAAAUCACGCAAAACAAUAUGAAAUUGAAGCUAAUUUUGUGUCAAAUUAAUGCACUAAACAUUUUAUUUGCGUAUUAUAGUUCUUGGCUUGAAGAUAAAAAAAUCAACAAAAAUUACUGUAAUUCAGUUUUAUAAUGGUUAUUAAAAUAAAAAAUUAAUAUCACCUACCAUUAAAAAAAAGAAAUUUACAUGUCUCCCUUUUCCCUCUAGAAGUCAGCCAAGAAAAUUUUGUCGAGUAUCAAAAAAUUAAGAUAACAACGUUGUAUCGUUUAAUUGUAUAAAAAAUGAAUUGCGUAUCUUGUUUAAUUUCUAAGAAAAGAUUUUGUACAAGAGACACCCUGUAUAUGUAUAGUUGCGGAGCAAAAGCGUAAGCCUAUUUGUGUAUCGCCCGGUAGAGAUGGAAUCCUGAUCCCUUCGCGUGGUCGUUAACAUUGUUUGCCCCUGGAAGAGAGCCGUAGGAAUGUGAAAAGCUACGCUGGCAAAUGGCGAGCAACAACGCCGUAAGGCCGAUCGUGCUCCUUACAGCACUCUCUAUUUUCCUCUACGGUAUUUCCGAGGCAAAUCCUUUCCAGCGUUCACGUGAGAAUUUCGCGUUAAAUGUUCCGCGAGCAACCUCCUCGGAGGCCUGACAUCAAUGAAAAUACUUGCACCGCGAACCUUUAACGCCGGAAUAAACACGUUCGAGGGAAUUUUACUUGGAUGGAUAGGAAUACUCGAGCGAAAGAGUUAGAUCGUCUGCAUUUCAUCUCGCAACGAGUAAGUUCCGAGACCCUACGCAUGGCGCUGCCGCUGGAAGUUUUAGAGAUACGUGGGAUAGAGUUAGGCUGGGAUUACUUUAAGGAUUUACUUGGAUAUAGGAUCCUAGACUACGAUUACUUCAAAUUUGACGAUAUUGGUUCGGAUAGGUGUCUUCUUUGGAAAAUGUUCAAGAGAAAAAUAAGAGAUACAAUAUUAGCAAACUUCAAUUGUGAUGGUAAUCUAGGGUUUCGCCCAAUUUUAAUACUAUCUAGCGGUUCCAUAAUCAACUACUCUAAUCAGAAGCAUAGAGCGGGUUAUAUAAAUUUUAACAACAGAUUUCACGUGAAAACAUGAAUCUUCCGUAAAGAUCUGUAUUAAAAUUACAAAAUUUUGAUAUAGUUUUUCAUAAAACUGUGGUGGUCAAUUUAAAUUGAAAUUAUUAAAGUUUUGUUAACAACAUCCACGGAACAACUGCCUUAGUCUUUAACCUUUGCAUUGACGUGUUGGUUGGUUCUCAGCCCCGUGGCGCAUCUUGUCAACCAAUGGACGAAUAUCGAAGGACAAGGACAGUCGCACAUCCGCUUGUGCGCUGUAGGGCACGCUCGGGGAUUCUCGUGGAUGUUCGUGGAUCCAUCGUGAAUCGCUUGGGGCCUCUACGAGCGUAACACUGGUAGCCACUACGCCAAAAGGGUCGCCUGGUGCGAGAAGAGAAAAAGGAAAGAUAUGGAAGGACAAGAGAACAGCGAGAGAGAGAGAGAGAGAGAGAGAGAGAGAGAGAGAGAGAGAGAGAUUGAGUGAAAGAACUGAGGACGAAAGACGUGCUGAAACUGGCAUGUUUUCUUCGAGAUGCAUUCAAAUUUUAGUGUAGAGACUGCGCGCCUUAUAGCGGCCACAGGCGUAAGGAUCUUUCGUGCAAUCAUUGUAAAGUGUACGUAGAGUUGCACAACCUGUUGGACGACGCACCGUGUUGAAUGGGAAUACGACGCUAAAAUUUCGAACCAUCAACUUUGAGCAUUCUAGAUAUUGUUAACAAUCACAGGGAACAGCAAAGUUGGGUAAAACUCAUACAACUCAUCACCAGAUUAAGGUAGUUCUUAUAGUUUCAUAAAGAUAGAGUUAAAAAUGAUAAACUUUAACAGCUUUCUGUUUCUAUAACUUUCAGAUAGGUAUCAAACCAUUACCACAUCAGUGGGAAUGGAAAUGGAAAUACCUCGGUUCCAUAUACUAUCUACACGGCACUGAGGGUGCUUUCCAAUUGCAAUAUUCCUAGACACAAGUUGCGUUCCAAUUGCCGCAAUCGUCUACUGCAGCAGCGCAGAUGAUGGACACUUGAAUUACCAUGAAUUAAAAAAUACUUUGUUCCUAUCGAAUCGUGUAAAACGCUGUACUUUCUGCAUUCCUGUGCACACGAGCGUCAAGAUUUUGUUAAGGAAUCGUCAAGUAGCCAGAAGUUAGUAGGGAAAUGUUUGUCGAGCGUCCGAUAUUUGAAAAGUAGCCGAAUAUGUGGAUGCGCCUUAAGAAGCUGUGCUGGAUGAAGGGAGAAGAAGGUCAAAAGGAGGGAAGUCACUGGUAGAAGCCAGUACACGGAGGAGCAAAGUAGGGGAAUCUCGAAGGAAGGGGUACAAGGUUCGAAUGGGCGGGAGACAUUCCAAUGUCUCGUGGCAAGCUUGCCGCUUGCCUGCUUUGCUUUGCUUUGCUCGCUCGUCUCUUGCUCGUAUACCAAGAUAUCAUCGUCCUAAACCCAGCCCACGCUAUGUCGAAUGCCACACGAGCGAACAUCCUACUCUCCUCGUAAUCAAUUUUAAUAAGUACAAUAACAAACAUACGUAUCACAGGAACCCUCUAACUCUGAUACGAGUCACGAAAUAAUGUCAAGGUUAAGUUGGGUCUCGUCAUUUUUUAGCUAAUUCCGCGAAAUUAGAAGAAAAUAGUGUUUUAAUUUUAGCACGUUGGAGAAUGUCAUUUUUGUCAGUGGAAUAAAUAUACGUUACAUCAGGUUCGUAAGGCCCUCUGUCAGCUGAAAAAUGGCGGCGACCAAUCAGAAUGGGGCAAAGUUAUUUCGCGACUGAUUAGAGGGUCUCUAAAGUGAACUACCCCUGGCUAGAGCAAAUAGGUUCAUGAAAAAUCUUAUGUAGCGUUCGGUCGUCACGAAAUCCCUACUUAUCUGGCCAUGACGAGCGACGAGUGUGGAGUGUCCCAAGUAGGGACACCAGUAGAGUAAUGCAGGAGUGGGAAUCCCCACUCCUUAAACGCUGUCGAGCUGGCGAAGUGAAUAGAAAUCGCGGCACUGUUCAACGGGGGUUCCCAAGUGGAAUGGUUACUAGCGUCAGUCGACUGAUGUCAGUCAUCAUUGCACGUGGAAUUUCUCUUUUCGUUACAUUCCCAUGGAAAAACUACUGACGCUAAUGGCGCUGGCGUUUCAGAUUGUUGAUGGGACAAAUUUGAACAUGUACGAACUAUGAGACUUCGUAUUGUCAUCUUCGAGUUCUGCAGGCUUGGAAGCUGAAAUUAGCGAACUACUCGUGGACUGGCGCCAGUUCACUGAUGACGCCAGUAACCCCAUUCGACCAGGGAAUCCCGCUGAACAGUGCCAUGGUUCCUAUUCAUUCUGUCAGUUCACCAGUAUCGAGAGAGUGGGAAUCCCCACUCCUCUGGUGUCCCUACCUGGCACUCGUCAAUGCCAGAGUAGGGAUUUCGUGAUGGCUGAGUAUUACAUAAGAUUUUUCAUGAAUCGAUUUUACUCUACGGCAGCCAAAGAAGUUUCACUUCAAACAGGAUUCAAAUAAAAGUUGUGCAUAUCAUUUGUAUCAAUUUACCAGGCACAGAUUUCUACAAUUUUCUGGUUAAUCUCCUAUCAACUUGUCUAUCAAAAAAUGAAUUAUUUCUUGGUUGUAAUUAAUUGUGCUGGGACAACGUUAGCGUUAGAGAUUUAGGUAUAGUACAGAUGUACAGGUAUAGUACUGUGUUUUUCUGUUUGAAACUUGGAAGGAAAUUUUUGGCCACCCUAAUAGAAGCGCAAUACAAACGAAGUUUUACAUCAGAGUGCAGAGCAACAACAAGAUACGAGGGAAAGAGGAACGAAGACAGAGAGAGGGGUGGAGUGAGGGACAUUUGCAUAGGAAUGCAAGACUGCUCGAGCCAGUGCUUACGAGUGCGUGGCACGUAUGAAUGUACCAACGCGUGAAGGUUCCAAGGAAGGAAGCUAGCACACGCAUUUCCUUGUGACAAGUCCUCGAAUAAUGCGACUCCUGUUUUAUCGAAGAACCACCUAUCAGCGUAUGCAACGUACAAACUGUAUAAUUCUUUCGAGCAAGAUUACACCGAGGCAAGUUUCACAUUCAGGAGAUAAUACCAGUCUCGUGUUUGAGAUCUAAAAGUAAACGUAAUCGAACAACUGCUUGUCGGUGUGUGCAAUGCGCGAGCCGGGUAAUUCUUUCGAGCAACGUUUACGAACCUACAUUACUCACGACACUUUUUUAUAAUUUCAUAUGCUUUGUAUAAUUUUUAGAAUAAUUUCACAUAUGUUCUAGUAUUUAACUGUUUAGCCUAUUCAUUUUCCCUGGUAUUUAAUUUUCUCAAGUAUUCAAUUCACUGAUCCUGAAUUCAAAUCUAUUGUUAUCGUCGCCUCAAUUUCGGAAUUAUACCUUUUGGUUCCUUACUGAAAAGUAAUCGUCUAGCGCGAUUAAAAAUUGUAUGGAAUACGGUAAUACGGAAAGCACAGAAAAAAUAUUCAUAGUGUGCAAUUAGUGGUUGUUGAAUUGUAUUAAAUUACGAUUAUUUAAUCGUUCCUUGGGAGCGUGCAUAAAAGUUUGUUUAGUCUGCGAGGCGAUUGUCACCUUGGUGAGAGAAGUUUCCGCAGCUGUCGUCGAGAAAUUUCCGGACAAUCUCGAAACUAGCAUCGAGUAACGAGCCAAUCUCGAAAAUCGACGAUGACAUCAUGCCAGCAGUAUUGCGACCAAAAUAAAUAUACCAUACAUCGACAUUCUCCCACUUUCUUGUCUUCCACCACAUCCGAAGCCACAAUUUUUCUUUAGCGUACGAAUCUAUCGGAGGCAUUUUCGAACGUGUCGUUCCCAUCUUCGCAAACGGUUAAACAGGAAGAAAGAUCG